rnacentral:rRNA from 1 species
GAUGAACGCUAGCGGCAGGCCUAACACAUGCAAGUCGAGGGGUAGAAGUUGCUUGCAACUUUGAGACCGGCGCACGGGUGCGUAACGCGUAUGCAAUCUGCCUUGUACUGAGGGAUAGCCCAGAGAAAUUUGGAUUAAUACCUCAUAGUAUUACGAUGUGGCAUCACAAUGUAAUUAAAGUUCCAACGGUACAAGAUGAGCAUGCGUCCCAUUAGUUAGUUGGUAAGGUAACGGCUUACCAAGACGAUGAUGGGUAGGGGUCCUGAGAGGGGGAUCCCCCACACUGGUACUGAGACACGGACCAGACUCCUACGGGAGGCAGCAGUGAGGAAUAUUGGUCAAUGGGCGCAAGCCUGAACCAGCCAUGCCGCGUGCAGGAUGAAGCAUCUAUGGUGUGUAAACUGCUUUUGUACGGGAAGAAACACUCCUACGUGUAGGAGCUUGACGGUACCGUAAGAAUAAGGAUCGGCUAACUCCGUGCCAGCCGCCGCGGUAACAC